UUCGCUAUUAAAAUAUUUCCCCCCAAUACUGAAGAAUCUUAAACCAGCAACCCUAACAGAGAUUGCGAAGAUUUUCAAAGUGGGGCACCUCGAUUUCUCGAAUCUGUGGUGUGGCGAAUAUCCGUGUUCCUCCUGCUUAACUAGCCUGUUUGAAGGCACAGUUCAUUCUCGAGCAAUUCGUCACCUCCUGGGGGUCUUCUCUUCCCGUCUACAGGAGAGUGUGACUUCAGAAAGAACUUCGGAUUGGCCAAGGCCAUUAAAGCUGGUGAGCGACUUGGAAGUCAUUUAGAAAGGAACAGACCUUCAACCUCAAGCCUUUGCGGGCACUGGGAAAGUGUCUUCCCAAUCAAUCUGGCUUGCAGGCGGCAGGACCAACUCUGACCUGGCUUAUCUUGUACCCAUCCUAAAUACACCAAACUCAAGAGGUAGCCAGGGCCGCCUCAACACCGAGGCAGGUCUGAUUCUAUUUAUUCUAAAGACAGAGUUGGAGAUGGGCUACCAUUGGUGUUGAUUGAGAUGACAAGCAGUCACCUGAGCCCAUACAGCUGGGUUCACAGAUGUGGCUAGUCUUGCUAGCCAGCUCGCACUGUGGACAUUCUAGGGAACUGACUGCAGUCCUCAUGCUUGGAGUCAAACACUUUAACCACUGCACACGUUUAUGUAAUAGGAUUGACAUAUGAGAAUCAGAGAAAUGAAUGAAAGAUUAGAGUGGGAGAAAGUGCUUGCUGCCAAGCUUGAUGACCUAAAUUGAAUACCUGGAACCUACACGACAGAAAGAGAGAGCUGACUGCUGAAAGAUGUCCUCAGAUCUUCACAUGUGCACAGUGGCACCUAUCCAACCAUGCACAUAGUAUAUUAAAAAUUAUUUUUUAAAAAA
rnacentral:lncRNA from 1 species